CUAUCUGGCCCCUAGUAAUAGGAUCUAUCUGGCCCCUAGUAAUAGGAUCUAUCUGGCCCCUAGUAAUAGGAUCUAUCUGGCCCCUAGUAAUAGGAUCUAUCUGGCCCCUAGUAAUAGGAUCUAUCUGGCCCCUAGUAAUAGGAUCUUUCUGGCCCCUAGUAAUAGGAUCUUUCUGGACCCUAAAGGUUUUACCUUGUCAGAUCACAUGGUCUGAAAAAUAUCCUCCUACCCCGUUUGUGAGCAUGUACCCUGGUGUGUAAGUAAGAUGAUGUAUUUAAGGGUGGAGUGUAACAGGGUGCGAGUGUGCACCCUUGAAAGUCUACUUUGUGUAUUUAUGUAUCUGUAUUUGUUGCUCUGUGCCCCCCAAUGCUCUGUUGUUCACUGUACAUUUCUACUUCAUCUGUUGAUUGAUUACAUGCUGAUUUAGUCACUUGAUUGAUAGUGCAGGGCGGCAAUUCACAAAGCAGGAGGCAAUAUAUCAGCCGUCUUACUUCGAGACACUAUUUGUAGUUCUCUGGUUCGUAUCUCAUCUGUUUCAAGUUUAGCAUGGGAAGUACUGAGAGAAUGUCAUACUAAUAACAAGUGUGUUUAUUACAUCUCUGCACUAGGAAAUAUGAAGCCUCAGUGACAGGCUGUUUGUGCCAUCAUGCCAACUCUUUGUCACUCAUUGUUAUACCAAACACGUUUGGCUUGACAAUGAGCAAUGGAGUUGGCCAGAGCACAAACAGAUUUGGGUCCAGAAUAGGAAAUGUGGUGUUUCAGAAUAUUUACAGUAGUUAGCCAGCUGAGCUAAAAACAUUGCUCCUGCUUUGUGGGAUACCACCAUAGAGAAUGAUAGAGGCCUCUAGUGGCCAAAAGGCUAUGUUAGCAUGGGCAGCGCCAUUGAGGGCUUCCACCAAUUUAAUGUAGUCAACUGGGUUGGACUUCCAACUUCAUUGGCUGAUCCCUCCUGGUGACCCUGUUGGAGUCAUGUCCAACCGGGUCAUUAGGAGGGAUCAGCUAAUUGUGAAGAAGAAGAUUGACUACUUCAAUGACACUGCCCAUGCUGUCAGACGCUGUAAUGGCACAGAUACAAAGAUGAGUGUAAUGAAAUAUAAUGAGUCCUCUAUCUCUAUCGAUACCACCCUGUUCUAACGUUGGUGUUAUGGUACCGUGGUCCUGAUGGUCUGUAUAUAUGGUGUGAUUGAGGAAAGGAUGACAAAAUACAUUUAUUUAUAAGAGGAAAUGCUACUGAGUGACGCCGAAAUGUCAUAUUUUCUAAAUAGGGUCUAUUUUUUAGAAGUCAAAUCGUGUGGGACAGCAAUACUAUCCUAUCCAGGCAUUAAUGGGUUCAAUACCUUGAGAGGUUGACUUUCACAAAGAAAGGAAUUUGAAUAAAUCUGUUUGAAAAACACGACUCAA
rnacentral:lncRNA from 1 species